rnacentral:rRNA from 1 species
UCUUUAUACUAAAAAUUUAUUGAAUAGAUAAUUAGAUAUCUUUUAGUAUUUGAUUGGGGUGAUCUGAAAAUUAAUUAAACUUUUUAAUUUAAUAAACAAAAAUUUUUGAAUUUGUUGAUCCUAUAUUAUAGAUUAGUAGAUUAAGU